UACGUAGGGUGCAAGCGUUAAUCGGAAUUACUGGGCGUAAAGCGUGCGCAGGCGGUGAUGUAAGACAGUUGUGAAAUCCCCGGGCUCAACCUGGGAACUGCAUCUGUGACUGCAUCGCUGGAGUGCGGCAGAGGGGGAUGGAAUUCCGCGUGUAGCAGUGAAAUGCGUAGAUAUGCGGAGGAACACCGAUAGCGAAGGCAAUCCCCUGGGCCUGCACUGACGCUCAUGCACGAAAGCGUGGGGAGCAAACAGG
rnacentral:rRNA from 1 species